rnacentral:sRNA from 1 species
UAUUCAUCCGCUUCUACACUCGUUCAUAUAUAUACAAAUACGCAAGCCCCCUCAUCUCCUCCCCACCACCAGACGCAGCCCGCACAACCUUUUCAUCAUUGUACAACACCCACUCUCCCUCUUCUUCUCCCUCCCCCUCGAUCCCCGCUUGCGGCUGCCGGAUAGUAGCCACAUAGUGGCCAGAAUGCACAGACGGGCCCUUGUGCGAGAUGAAUGCUUUCAGUCGGUACUUGGCAGGGAGAGACGAUGAGCCCCCGAUGGAAGGUUCGGCACUGCCAGCGGGGGCAGGGUCUUCUCCUGCAUCGUCAGGGUUACUAAACAGCCACUCAAUAGCCCGCUCGGGGUUGCCGUCCUAUUCCUUAUCAGUACCAUGUCCCGUCCCUUGGCAACGAUUUUUUUUUCUCUAAAAAAAGAAAGGAAACCUACGCUUUCGCGCAAUGCCUUGCGGGCUUGGUUAUGAGAGAAUCCCAUAUCGGCAAUCAUGCCAAUCUGUUCUUGUGAAGGUUCGUUGCUGGCGGCUUUCGAACCCCCGAGUACAAUCGGCGCAUCAAUGUCUAGUGGUACUUUGAUGACAAUCUCAGCGUCAUUGUUGCCAGUCGCCAAUAAUGCCUUUUGGCAUCUCACUGUGGGGAAUCCCAUAGCCUCAAGCUGUGCCAUGGCCGUAGCGUUGAACUCUGGGAGGGAAGGAGACGAUGACGAUACUGUGAGCUCUUGUUCACCCGGUUGAAGUCCUUGGGCAACGAGGUGGUCCAAAGUAAGAAUGUCGGGGACGGAUACAGGAAUAUCGAGCUUGGUUGGGAGCCAAUUCACAAGUUGAAACUUUUUCAUGUGCAACACCAACAAGUCUGGGAAUGUCUUGAAUUUGGUCGAUCUAUGGAUUGUCAGUCCUUCCAAAGCUCCUCUCCUCCCAAAGCUCCUCCCUUCUCUAUUUUUUUUUUUUUUUUACUUACUUGUACGCCGUCGUCUUUUCCUUGCAAUGAUCACACUGAUACUCAGCCACUGCUUCCUCUGCACACAAUUGCUCUAAACACGUUUCAAGUUCCACCCCCUCGUAAAGCUUCUUGCCGUCUUCACUCACCCCCACCUCCACUGCCUCAACAGGCAAACUCGCCAAGUCUACACCUUCCACCUGGAGACCGACACGCUUGCACUUGCCACACUGCAACCUCUGCUCCAUUGCAAACUUGAGAAUCUCAGUCGGCUCGGCGGCCUCAUCCCUACCUUGACGCUUCGCCUCGUCUCUUAACCGCGUCAAAAGAUGCUGUAAAAAUUCUUCUGAAUCUUGUUGGCGCAUGGUCGAAAACUCUUCGUGGCCUUUACCAAUAAGCGCUUUAAACUGUGUCGGCUUGAUUCCUUCUUGGAACUUGGGAGCUUGCUGUUCUUCAAAAUGGGUAGUGGGGGGGGGUAAGCUUGCCACAUGAGAGUACCUUCCGGACAGCAGACCAUCGCCGAGCUUGAGCAUUUGGCACUCGAUACAGGAAGCGGGAAGAAGGUUGGGACACGUUUGGAAAUGGUUGAACGCUUCGGGUGUGGUAUACCUUGAUCGGAAAGCGGGGAGAGAGAAGAGCGCUUGGAGGACAGAGGCCACGUAACAGCUGUUUCCCAAGUUUCUCAGGCCGGUGAGACCUUUGCCAAAGACAGGUUCGAGUUCUUUACCGUCAUCGCCAAUCAUGGAAAAAUCAAAUUUCAAAUUAUGUUCGAGUUGGAGUUCAGUCAUGGACUUUUCAGUCUUGGUCUGACCCAUCACCUCGAUGCCGAAGGUUGAAAGGUGAGUGGCCAAUUCGGGGUCGAUCUUGGCAUCGUCACAGGCGUAGCAAUAAAUAUCUGUUUUUUUUGCUUAGCAUGAUGGAAUAUGUAUGAGCCCCUAAAAAAAGAGAAGAAAG